AUGGGGUCCUUCGCCAGAGCUGCGCGUUUCCUUGUGCUCCUCCAGAUCGUUCUGUUCGUCAUCUCCGCCGUGCUCAUGAGCGGCCCCGUUUGCCAUGGAGCCCGCCCAGGGAUCAGUGGUGGAGCUCUCGACCCUAACCGGCCAACAGUUACAGUCCCGCCUGGUGCCCCCUACACCCGUCGGUGCGGCAGCUUGAAUAGGUGCCCACCAGGUGUUCAGCCCUGA
rnacentral:rRNA from 1 species